rnacentral:rRNA from 1 species
UACAGAGGGUGCGAGCGUUGUCCGGAAUUACUGGGCGUAAAGCGUGCGCAGGCGGUUGUGCAAGACAGAUGUGAAAGCCCCGGGCUCAACCUGGGAAUGGCAUUUGUGACUGCACGGCUAGAGUGUGUCAGAGGGGGGUAGAAUUCCACGUGUAGCAGUGAAAUGCGUAGAGAUGUGGAGGAAUACCGAUGGCGAAGGCAGCCCCCUGGGAUGACACUGACGCUCAUGCACGAAAGCGUGGGGAGCAAACAGG